AGAGUUGAUCAUGGCUCAGGAUGAACGCUAGCGACAGGCUAACACAUGCAAGUCGAGGGGCAGCACGGGAGUAGCAAUACAACUGGUGGCGACCGGCGCACGGGUGAGUAACGCGUAUGCAACCUACCUAUCAGAGGGGAAUAACCCGGCGAAAGUCGGACUAAUACCGCAUAAAACAGGGGCACCGCAUGGUGAUAUUUGUUAAAGAGAUUCGCUGAUAGAUGGGCAUGCGUUCCAUUAGGUAGUUGGUGAGGUAACGGCUCACCAAGCCGACGAUGGAUAGGGGAACUGAGAGGUUGGUCCCCCACACUGGUACUGAGACACGGACCAGACUCCUACGGGAGGCAGCAGUGAGGAAUAUUGGUCAAUGGGCGGGAGCCUGAACCAGCCAAGUCGCGUGAAGGAAGAAGGAUCUAUGGUUCGUAAACUUCUUUUGCAGGGGAAUAAAGUGCAGGACGUGUCCUGUUUUGUAUGUACCCUGAGAAUAAGGAUCGGCUAACUCCGUGCCAGCCGCCGC
rnacentral:rRNA from 1 species